rnacentral:rRNA from 1 species
GUCGAACGCUGGCGGCGUGCUUAACACAUGCAAGUCGAACGCAGUGGCGAACGGGUGAGUAACGCGUAAUCAACCUGCCCUUCCGAGGGGGACAACAGUUGGAAACGCCUGCUAAUACCGCAUCCUGUAGGAGGGGGUUGCGUCUGAUUAGCUAGUUGGAGGGGUAAUGGCCCACCAAGGCGAUGAUCAGUAGCCGGUCUGAGAGGGUGGACGGCCACAUUGGGACUGAGACACGGCCCAGACUCCUACGGGAGGCAGCAGUGGGGAAGCUUCCGCAAUGGACGAAAGUCUGACGGAGCAACGCCGCGUGAGUGAUGAAGGCCUUCGGGUUGUAAAGCUCUGUUAAUCGGGACGCGGUACCGGAAUAGAAAGCCACGGCUAACUACGUGCCAGCAGCCGCGGUAAUUC